rnacentral:rRNA from 1 species
CACGUAGGGUGCGAGCGUUGUCCGGAAUUAUUGGGCGUAAAGAGCUCGUAGGCGGUGUGUCGCGUCGGCCGUGAAAACCUGCAGCUUAACUGUGGGCUUGCGGUCGAUACGGGCAUCACUGGAGUUCGGCAGGGGAGACUGGAAUUCCUGGUGUAGCGGUGAAAUGCGCAGAUAUCAGGAGGAACACCGGUGGCGGAGGCGGGUCGCUGGGCCGAUACUGACGCUGAGGAGCGAAAGCGUGGGGAGCGAACAGG